rnacentral:misc_RNA from 1 species
CCUAGAGUUGUAGGCUUUGCCUGCUAUCUCUUACCCAUGUCUUUUGAGUACCUUCGUUUCCCUCGGCGGGUCCGCCCGCCGAUUGGACAAUUUUAAAACCAUUUGCAGUUGCAAUCAGGCGUCUGAAAAAACUUAAUAGUUA